GCCGGUAUCGUAUAGUGGUUAGUACGUAUCGUUGUGGCCGAUACAACCUCAGUUCGAUUCUGAGUGCCGGCA
rnacentral:tRNA from 1 species